CAAUUUAGGCACUCUUAGGAAAUUCUUAGGAAAUCCUAAAAGAACAUUUUCAAUACAAUAACAGGCCUCACCAUACUUGCAUAUAUUGUCAGCUAUACUACAACAAUAGGAAAUGUAAUCAAAGGCAGGCAUUGGACUCGAACAUGAGUUUUAUGUGGUGUACUUUCAGAAUUCGCUCAGAAUAAUUAGUACUGCAUUUAAAAGAAAGAUAGGUAGGGUGAUAAUUGUAUAAAAUUCUUAGAUCCGAUUUGAACAUUAUAAAAUCAUAUAUAUUGUUUCUAAUAGAAAUGCUACUUGAGAUUAUAAAAAAAAGAAGUCCCGCUUUGCAGAUAGAAGGCGGCUCACUAGGGCCCGUAAAAGCUAAAUGUACCGGGCGUCCUUUGCUUUAGUGGCCGAGAGGGGCUUGGGCCCAAGGCGCAAAAUCAUAACGGUCGAACGAAAGCCUCCAAACGUAUAGCCGUUUAUUCCCGUCUUUUCUACGCGUAAUUCACAUUUUUUAAGGAUUUGAUGGCAGAAAAUGGAUUGAAGUAAAAGGACAUUAUGAUAGAGAUAGUAAAAUGUGCUCGAGUUGCAAAGCCAGAAAAGAAAGAAGUUGGAGGCUAAAACACAGAUGGAAGGCUUGGAAAAUUCAAAGUCAUGGAAGACAAAGUGUGAUGAUGUCUUUAAACUUCUCAAGUAUAAAUACCACACUAUAAACAAAGUAGAAGCAGGCUAAUGUUAGGCAGGUCUAUAAAGAGCUCAGCCAUGACGACGAAGAUGGAACUGAUCAGCAUAUGACCUGGGAUUUCAGCAAAACUUAUGAUGAUGACUUCAACAAAGAAGUUGGUCGUGGCAUAUUUGCGGGAGUGCGCAGUACGGAUAGCAAGUCAUCGUCAACUGCCAUAAAAGCUGCAAUGCAUGUCCAUUUCAGAACUUAAAAGAGGGGGCAUGUCACAAAAGCAAAUGACAGUUAUGAUGCCACCUUAAACAGGCCGAGAAAGCGCAGCCGGCUUAACACAGUGAGUAUGACUAAAACUAAUGACUCGUAAUUUUAGCAGAGUAAAAGCUACUCCAACUAUCUGAAGUGAACAGAGUUAUUUUUACUCCAGAUGGUCAAGAAAUGGAGUAAAAAAGUACUCCUUUGAGGGGGUAGGUUUUGAAGAGUAAAAACUACUCCAGCCAUCUCGUGUUGAAAGAGUAGUUUUUACUCCAGCUGUAUCUUUUUAGAGCAGUAACAAACCACACCAAAUAUAUAAAAUAAAGCGAGUUGUUUUUUUACUCUGAAUUAGCUGGAUUUAAGAAGGAAAACGAUAGUCUUUAUUAUAUAAGACAACAGAUAAAAAUAAUAAUUUAUCGUAUCUAUUGUUGAGACAAAAAAACUCUACCCUGUGCCUAGGAGUUUCCUAAGAUUUCCUAAGUUCGAUCAAAACAACAAAAUAUGAUUAAACUUCCUAAAAAUUCCUAGGAUUUCCUAGUAUAAGCAGUAGACCAGAAAAUCGGAAUAAUUUGGAUAAGAACAUCUUAGGAAGAAGAUUUGAAGCAUUCUACAAUUUAGGAACUCUUAGGAAAUUCUUAGGAAAUCCUAAAAGAACAUUUUCAAUACAAUGACAGGCCUCACCAUACUUGCAUAUAUUGUCAGCUAUACUACAACAACAAUAGGAAAUGUAAUCAAAGACAGGCAUUGGACUCGAACAUGAGUUUUAUGUGGUGUACUUUCAGAAUUCGCUCAGAAUAAUUAGUACUGCAUUGAAAAGAUAGAUAGGUAGGGUGAUAAUUGUAUAAAAUUCUUAGAUCCGAUUUGAACAUUAUAAAAUCAUGUUUUGCAGAUAGAAGGCGGCUCAACAGGGCCCGUAAAAGCAAAAUGCACCGGGCGUCCCUCGCUUUAGUGGCCGAGAGGGGCUUGGACCCAAGGCGCAAAAUCAUAACGGUCGAAUGAAAGCCAUUAUCACAGCCUCCAAACGGAUAGCCGUUUAUUCCCGUCUUUUCUACGCGUAAUAAACAUUUUUUAAGGAUUUGAUGGCAGAAAAUGGAUUGAAGUAAAAGGACAUUAUGAUAGAGAUAGUAAAAUGUGCUCGAGUUGCAAAGCCAGAAAAGAAAGAAGUUUGAGGUAUAAGGAAUGUAUCAAUGCGUAAAUCGCAAGAAACGAAUAAAAACUUCGUAAACUUAAGUUAUUCACUAAUCACUGUACUUACAUCUAAAGCGCCUAUGCUUUAUAAACUGUUACUUGAAGCACAAAAUUGAAUAACUUAGCUUAGUAAAAACCUGGUAAUCAGUCUUGCACCUAAAAUUUGUCCAGAUAUUUAUUUUGAAUAUCUUAUGUUACUGUAGUUGGUUUUUGUCCGUAUAUUCUGAUCACAGUAAACCCUGCAUAUGAAGAACCUAGUUAUCUUUUCAAGCUAGCCUACCAGGUUCAAAUUUAAAUGGUGCAUAUAGAGGCAUUAGGCUUCUAGGUUCUUUUCUGAAUAUACAAAGAUGGAGGAGGAGGCAGUUCUUUUGGAAAACCGUAAUGACGCCAAAAAGGGUAAUGUUCAAAAGCUGUUAAAGUUGUUAUA